rnacentral:rRNA from 1 species
GGGUGGUAAUGCCGGAUGCUCCAGUUGAUCGCAUGGUCUUCUGGGAAAGCUUUCGCGGUAUGGGAUGGGGUCGCGUCCUAUCAGCUUGACGGCGGGGUAACGGCCCACCGUGGCUUCGACGGGUAGCCGGCCUGAGAGGGCGACCGGCCACAUUGGGACUGAGAUACGGCCCAGACUCCUACGGGAGGCAGCAGUGGGGAAUAUUGCACAAUGGGCGCAAGCCUGAUGCAGCGACGCCGCGUGAGGGAUGGAGGCCUUCGGGUUGUAAACCUCUUUUAUCGGGGAGCAAGCGAGAGUGAGUUUACCCGUUGAAUAAGCACCGGCUAACUACGUGCCAGCAGCCGCGGUAAUACGUAGGGUGCAAGCGUUAUCCGGAAUUAUUGGGCGUAAAGGGCUCGUAGGCGGUUCGUCGCGUCCGGUGUGAAAGUCCAUCGCUUAACGGUGGAUCCGCGCCGGGUACGGGCGGGCUUGAGUGCGGUAGGGGAGACUGGAAUUCCCGGUGUAACGGUGGAAUGUGUAGAUAUCGGAAAGAAAC